AUCCAAGUGAUGAGUCCGAAAUAGGACGAAAUUCGCAUCCUGAAU
rnacentral:hammerhead_ribozyme from 1 species